CUUAUUCAUUACUCAUUUAGCUAUGUAGUAGAAUCAUAUAAGCAUUUAUCUUCAAUCUUUGAAUUUUGCACACACUAUGGAUACCCUUGAUGAAUAUUGUCUUGCUUCUAUAGGAUUAUUUGUUGGCACCCCUACUGCAUUUUAUUUUAUUUUGUUCUUCCAGAUACAUGGACAACACGUGCCAAUUGUAUUUUCUAACGAAGAAAUUGAUCGGCAACUCAAGAAUAGAUCGAGCAGCAACCUAAUGUCUCCACAUCCAUCGAGGCCCAUCUAGACCACGUCGAGGCUCGACUUUACACAUUAAGAACUCAAAUGAAUGACAUCCUAACGGCUCUUCAAGGUGGCUCCUUCCACCCUCAUCUGCCCCAUCGUUGACUUUACACAGGGAGUAUUCUUUUCCCUUGGCUUGUAUUUAUUUUUUGUGCACAUUGAGGCCAAUGUGGGAUAAGUAGGGGGAGUUUUGAGAUAAUUAUCAUGAAUUGCUUUUGAUUUUGUUGCUUAGUUUGAUCUUGCAUAUCUUAAUUUCUAUUACUUGGUCAUUCUUCAAUCAUUUGCUUUGGGUUGAAACACCACUACUUUGUCGAUUUAAAUGUUUGGGUAUUAGAUGAAAUGGUUUUUCAUAACUUAGUUUUUUUGGUAAGUGUUGGGUAUUGUUGGAACUAAAUGUUUUGCCAAAAUUUAUCUUUCAUGAAAUUGAUUUUUAUUGAACUUGCUUGGAUAUUUUUUUCUCAUAAUAUGUGUUUUAGUUGUUCUUUUGAAAGAAAAAUAUACGAAUAAACUACUUCGCUAACAGCUUUGGAACUUGGGAACUGUGACCAAAUUGAGUAAUCGGAAUGGGGUGUUUGGGUUAUCAUUUCCUUUUGCGUAAAAAGGUUCGAGUAAUGUACCAAAUCUUGAAAUUACUCCGUAAACCGGAGCCACCAUGAGUAGGGUAAAAAGAACCAUUUAAAGAUGUGUCCAAUUGAGUAAUCAAGAUGGGGUGUUUGGGUUGUCAUCAUAUUUCGUGUAAAAAGAUUCGAUUAUGUCCUAAAUAAAUAAUUUGAUAAAAAAAAUAAUAAAUGAGACCUUUGUGUGAAAGUUGAGAACAAUUGCCCUUGCAAGUUUGGUCGAUUGUUAAUGUCGUGAAUUAUUGAUUUUGUGAAUUAAGAAAAAAAAAAUUCAACACUUGUCGCUUGAAUUGAGUCGAUUGAGAAAUCCAUUCAUAUUACACCCAAUUAUUUGAAUUUAUAUAAAGUCGUGGAGUAAAACCUACUUUUGAAAGUCAUUGAAUGAUUCUAGUGUAGGAAUGAACGAUAUGCUUGAGGAUAAAUAUCGGCUAAGUAGGAGAAUUUGAUUAAUAGGCUUACUUUACAUAUUUGUUGUGCUUAAUUUUGAUUAAAUAUUGAAUGCUAAUGCUAAUUUUGGGUUUAUUAUUUGAUUUUUGAUUAGGUAUACAAACAAAGUCGGAAAGUUAGUUGAAAAUCAAGUUGACCUAAAAAUUUUAAGUUGAAGAAUCAGUUGAAGGACCAUGAUAAAAUUUUGAGAACUUUGUUUUGGGAUUUAUUUGUAAAAAUAUUUCUUUUAAUUUUCAGUAGGAGAAUAUUUUAAUUUUCUGUUAUUUUAUCUUUCAGUAUUUUCAGAUAACCUUUUAAUAUUAGAUUAAAUUAAAGAGUUCAAGUAGUAUCAGACUUAUGUUUUUUUAUUAUUUUUAUUUUCUUAUUAUUGCGCAGCAUAUGCGCAGGCUGAAGGUACCUUUAUUUUUGAGAAUUCAAUUGCAAUUGAAUUAUCAUUCCCCUG
rnacentral:lncRNA from 1 species